rnacentral:rRNA from 1 species
GGUUGAUCCUGCCAGUAGUCAUAUGCUUGUCUCAAAGAUUAAGCCAUGCAUGUCUAAGUAUAAACUGCUUAUACUGUGAAACUGCGAAUGGCUCAUUAAAUCAGUUAUAGUUUAUUUGGUGGUACCUUCUUACUCGGAAUAACCGUAAGAAAUUUAGAGCUAAUACGUGCGUAAAUCCCGACUUCUGGAAGGGACGUAUAUAUUAGAUAAAAGGCCGACCGGGCUCUGCCCGACCCGCGGUGAAUCAUGAUAUCUUCACGAAGCGCAUGGCCUUGUGCCGGCGCUGUUCCAUU